AUGAAGCAUGAAAACAGAAGAUCAGCACUCCCCUAGAUAAGAAUGGGAAAGGCAAUCAGCACGACACCUAUGGCUAUCACUCCAAAGCAAGAAAAUCUUACAUUUCUUUUU